GAGAAGGGAGGAGACCCUAUAUAAGGGCUGCAUUGAGGGGGGCAGCUUGUGCACCUGAGGCAGCAGUGUGGGACAGUAAGGAUGUGGGAGCAGGACCACGUGGCUGUGGGAUGGACUGUUCAAGAUGCUCUUGCAGAGGAAUGAGCUCCAGCUCUGAGGACAAGAGAGACCGGCAGUGGUAGCUGAAGCCAUGAAGUGACUUGGCUGGAUGUCUCCACCAGUGAUGUGACUGUGCUUAGCAAGAAAGAAGCGGUGCUGGGCAGCUCUGAGAGGUUUCUGAGAAGAGCCAGCAGUGAAACCUGGAGCCUGUUGCGUCUAAUCAAGUCAUGAUGGAAAGAGGAAUGUUCUGCAGGUGCCAGAGCUCCAUGAUUUCCAUCAGAAGCUUGUCAUUCCGUGCAGUAGAGGUUCUGUCAUGUGAUAUUACUCCACGCAGAGGGAAGCCAGAGCAGCUUUACACCACUGGUAAGCAGUCAGAGGAUUUGCUUUGGUCAUAAAUGCAGUUUCACAUCGUGCAUCUCUCCUCUCUCUCUCCCAUGUUGAACAUGGCAUUUCAACAGCUGAAAAUUCAG
rnacentral:lncRNA from 1 species